rnacentral:lncRNA from 1 species
AAGCGCGCGAGCAAGAUGGCCACCACCAAGCGCGUCUUGUGGACUGGCAGAGGAAGUGGACGACAAAGUUCUUCAUGCUGCGUUCAUUCCUUUUGGAGACAUCACAGAUAUUCAGAUUCCUCUGGAUUAUGAAACAGAAAAGCACCGAGGAUUUGCUUUUGUUGAAUUUGAGUUGGCAGAGGUGAGAGUCUGUGUUACUAGUGUCUAGUCCUUGGUUUGUGAUGUUGUUACUGAUUACAAAGGAAGCUUUUCACCAUUUGGUUAGGUUUUUGGGCCUUAGGCUGAUGCUUCCAGAGAGAUCAGAAGUAAGUGCUGUUCUAAGGAAAGCGUCUCUCACAUAAUCAGACUGGACUGUGAAUAACAUGUCAGACCUGCCAGGCCCUCCCAUUCUUGCCCUGCAGAGGAGCUAGCUCAUGCACCCCUGUUCAUUGAGCAUUCUUGCCUGGAAGUAGUGAUUAUUUCUUGUGCCUUCAACUAGAUGGCAAAUUGUUGCACCACCAGCUCUAAAAUCAGCCAGGAAGUGCUCUUUGUUAGAAACACACAAAACCUAGGCAAGAAAUACAGAGGUGGCAUUUUUCUGGAUUUUUGCUACUGAGCAUGUGUUUAGACACCAUA